GACGAACGCUGGCGGCGUGCUUAACACGUGCAAGUCGAACGCUGAAGCUCAGCUUUUGUUGGGUGGAUGAGUGGCGAACGGGUGAGUAACACGUGAGUAACCUGCCUCCUUCUUUGGGAUAACGCCCGGAAACGGGUGCUAAUACUGGAUAUUCACUGGUCUUCGCAUGGGGGUUGGUGGAAAGGGUUUUUCUGGUGGGGGAUGGGCGCGCGGCCUAUCAGCUUGUUGGUGGGGUGAUGGCCUACCAAGGCUUUGACGGGUAGCCGGCCUGAGAGGGUGACCGGUCACAUUGGGACUGAGAUACGGCCCAGACUCCUACGGGAGGCAGCAGUGGGGAAUAUUGCACAAUGGGCGCAAGCCUGAUGCAGCGACGCCGCGUGAGGGAUGGAGGCCUUCGGGUUGUGAACCUCUUUCGCUCAUGGUCAAGCCGCAACAAUGGUUGUGGUGAGGGUAGUGGGUAAAGAAGCGCCGGCUAACUACGUG
rnacentral:rRNA from 1 species